rnacentral:rRNA from 1 species
ACAAGGUUUCCGUAGGUGAACCUGCGGAAGGAUCAUUACUGAACUGUCGACACGAGUUGUUGCUGGUCCUCGAAAGGGGACAAGUGCACGCUCUGUUUACACAUCCACUCACACCUGUGCACCCUUGUAGUUCUAUGGCCUGGGGACUCUGUCCUCUUGCUGUGGUCCUACGUCUUUACACACACACCGUAACAAAGUAUCAUGGAAUGUAUGAUGCGUCUAACGCAAUACAAUACAACUUUCAGCAACGGAUCUCUUGGCUCUCGCAUCGAUGAAGAACGCAGCGAAAUGCGAUAAGUAAUGUGAAUUGCAGAAUUCAGUGAAUCAUCGAAUCUUUGAACGCACCUUGCGCCCUUUGGCUAUUCCGAAGGGCAUGCCUGUUUGAGUAUCAUGAACACCUCAACUCUCAUGGUCUGCCAUGAUGAGCUUGGACUUUGGGGGUCUUGCUGGCGUAACCGCCGGCUCCUCUCAAACGAAUCAGCUUGCCAGUGUUUGGUGGCGUCACAGGUGUGAUAACUAUCUACGCUUGUGGUCUUCCAUCAGGUUACCUUCAGUAAUGGAGGUUCGCUGGAGCUCACAGACGUCUCUCCUCUGGGAGGACAGCUUUUUAAAAGUUUGAUCUCAAAUCAGGUAGGACUACCCGCUGAACUUAAGCAUAUCAAUAAGCGGAGGAAAAGAAACUAACAAGGAUUCCCCUAGUAACUGCGAGUGAAGCGGGAAGAGCUCAAAUUUAAAAUCUG